AGACCCGAAACCCGGUGAUCUAGCCAUGGGCAGGUUGAAGGUUGGGUAACACUAACUGGAGGACCGAACCGACUAAUGUUGAAAAAUUAGCGGAUGACCUGUGGCUGGGGGUGAAAGGCCAAUCAAACCGGGAGAUAGCUGGUUCUCCCCGAAAGCUAUUUAGGUAGCGCCUCGUGAAUUCAUCUCCGGGGGUAGAGCACUGUUUCGGCCAGGGGGCCAUCCCGGCUUACCAAUCCGAUGCAAACUGCGAAUACCGGAGAAUGUUAUCACGGGAGACACACGGCGGGUGCUAACGUCCGUCGUGAAGAGGGAAACAACCCAGACCGCCAGCUAAGGUCCCAAAGUCAUGGUUAAGUGGGAAACGAUGUGGGAAGGCCCAGACAGCCAGGAUGUUGGCUUAGAAGCAGCCAUCAUUUAAAGAAAGCGUAAUAGCUCACUGGUCGAGUCGGCCUGCGCGGAAGAUGUAACGGGGCUAAACCAUGCACCGAAGCUGCGGCAGCGACACUGAUGUGUUGUUGGGUAGGGGAGCGUUCUGUAAGCCGUUGAAGGUGGCCUGUGAGGGUUGCUGGAGGUAUCAGAAGUGCGAAUGCUGACAUAAGUAACGAUAAAGCGGGUGAAAAGCCCGCUCGCCGGAAGACCAAGGGUUCCUGUCCAACGUUAAUCGGGGCAGGGUGAGUCGACCCCUAAGGCGAGGCCGAAAGGCGUAGUCGAUGGGAAACGGGUUAAUAUUCCCGUACUUGGUGUUACUGCGAAGGGGGGACGGAGAAGGCUAUGUUGGCCGGGCGACGGUUGUCCCGGUUUAAGCGUGUAGGUGUGUGUUCCAGGUAAAUCCGGUU
rnacentral:rRNA from 4 species